AUGAAUAUACUUGCCUGGAACUGUCGAGGCUUGGGGUUGGACUCGACAGUUGGCGAACUGCGUGACCUGAUUAGGUCCCACAACCUAGCGGUGGUUUUCUUAAGCGAAACUAAGAAGAGUGCAGGAGCUAUGGAAAAACUAAAAUGGAGUUUGGGAUUCAGAAGUGGAGUAGCGGUGAGCUGUGUGGGCAGAAGUGGUGGGCUAGCUCUUUGGUGGAGAGAACAUGUACAGGUAUCCAUUAGACCAUGGUGCCAAUAUUUUUUGGAUGCUGCAGUGGUGGUUGACGGUAAAACCGUUAGAAUCACUGGAUUCUACGGCGAACCCGACACUGAGAAGAGGAAAAAAUCUUGGGAUGCGUUAAGAUAUCUUCGAUCAUAG
rnacentral:rRNA from 1 species